rnacentral:rRNA from 1 species
AGCGAUCGUUGGCGGCAGGCCUAACACAUGCAAGUCGAACGCAUCUUCGGAUGAGUGGCGAACGGGUGAGUAUAACUUGGGAAUCUGCCUUUGUCUGGGGGAUAACUGUUGGAAACAGCAGCUAAUACCGCAUAAUCCAUAUUGGGAAAGCUCCGGCGGACAAAGAUGAGCCCAAGCCUGAUUAGCUAGUUGGUAAGGUAAAAGCUUACCAAGGCAACGAUCAGUAGCUGGUUUGAGAGGAUGAUCAGCCACACUGGAACUGAGACACGGUCCAGACUCCUACGGGAGGCAGCAGUGGGGAAUAUUGCGCAAUGGGGGCAACCCUGACGCAGCCAUGCCGCGUGCACGAUGAAGGCCUUAGGGUUGUAAAGUGCUUUCGUUAGGGAAGAUAAUGACGGUACCUAAAAAAGAAGUCCCGGCUAAUUCCG